UGAAGAGAAAUGUGGAAUGUAAAAAAACCAAGGACAGUUGGCCUCCCUAGCUUAAUCCAAAAGCCACUGUCUUCUCAUGACCCAAGUAUAGCUAGCAAAACUAGCCCACAAGGCUUGGCUCCUCAAGUGAGUUUGAGAAUGAAGCCUGUACAAUUAACUUGUGCAAAAGUAGUUUCCUUGUUGGAUGUUACAUAUAGUCUAUGAGCUACCCCUACAAGUUACUUUUGCCUCUUCAUUUGCAGGUGUUUUUGGCCACUGCUGGAACACUCGACUCAAGAAUCCAGUGAUUUUUGUCUUUGUGUGAACCUCUGUGUAAACACACACACACACAGAUCCUCUCCCCUCCUGUCCAGUGACACUACAGCUACGUUUUUAACAAACCAUCUGUUCAAGUGAAAGCAUCUGAGCAGUUCUUCACACAAAUCUAGAUGUGUAAAGAAGAGAAAACAUCUGGAAUUGUGCCUGCUGAAUGGAUGCUCUAAAACACUGCUGCCCACAAGGGUUACUGCUCCCUCCUUAACUUUGGGAUGGGUCCAAAACAAAUUUCCUUGUUUCCUCUGUGCUUAAAUAUACUCACAUCCUCAAGACACAGUGGCAUCCUUGUCUUUCCCUUGAUCUAUUUUAGAAAACCCAUGGUGAAAUACUCUGUUCAAACUUACCGUGACUAUUUAUAACACAAUUCUCUAGCAGACCAGUGUUAGAAGGGCCAUUAUUGUAAAACUAAGUAGUAUGAGAUGGCACAUACAAGGAAUUAACAGAAAAGCCCUACUGGGAGGAAAUUAUAGAAACACAAACCGCAUUUACAAGCGUGUUUUUUGGUUGAGCUGCUCUAAUCAUUUUACAAAAGCUGGGGAUGGGGCUGCCUAGGGACACGAUCGAGGUGUGCAGGUGCUGUGCAGCACUGAAGUACUGCUGGCGGAGAGGCACAGUUCACCAUCAGAGCUGCUCUUGCCAGGGUUACCACUGCUCCCAAGCAAAGCAACAAACAAAUGUGCACUCACAGAUGGGGUUUGCUGGCACAGCUGUCUCAGUCGUGAAUUGCACCUCUGAUCAAAAUUGAGAAUCCUUGGGUGAUGAGAUGGGGCUGAAACACAAAGUCAAGGUGUGACUCACACAAAGUCAGACAGCGAGGCAGGGACAUGAGCAGAGCUGGAACAGUACUUUCUUCCCUCAUUUCCCAGAGCUGCUGCAGACAGACAGCACUGUCACUGAACUGUAUAUUUCAAUGUAUAAUUACUCGCUUAUUAGCUGGCUACCUCAUCAUGCCAAGAAAGUUAGUGGGAAUGUAGAGCAAAGGCAUUUCUCCUCUCCCUGUCUUUCAGACCAGAGGAAAAACAACAGAUCAUGCAACCUGCUGGGAAUCUCCACCUCCUCCACCCUUUUUAGCCUGGCAGAGGUUUGAUUGAUUUCUCAGUUACAUCUAGUAUGCAGAAGAAAAAGAGCUGAUCAUGCUAGCCUGAUACUAGAGACAGGGACUCUGAUGGCCAUGGCUAUUACUGCUUCCAGAGUGACGGGCUGGGCACAUGUGCCUGGUGGGUGACCUCACACUGAGCCAUGAAGAUAUCGGGAGCAACCAGCUCUACCACACACCACUGCUCAGUACCUCAUAGAGGCGAAGGAAUAUAACACAGGGUGUCAACCUGACAUAAAGCAAAUUACAGCGCCACUGUAGUCAAGGUAAGUCUUGGCUUACUUGCUGUAGAGGUGGCACUUUUUAAAGCUUGAAAACGUAAUGGGUUUCCGGAGAAGUUUCUCCAUGCAGCUUCCCAGGUGGCCACGUUUCCAUGAAGGCUGAAGUGAUUCUUCUUGCCAAAUCAGCCCCUGCAUUCAAACUUCCCCAGGAAAACCAGAUGAGUUUUUUGAAUAACAGCAGAGCAGACUUCCUUAUUAGCAAAGUCAAGCAGGAAAAUUAGUGAAAAUAGUAUAAUUUUUAUACAGACCAAAUCAUUCCUAGAUAACAGAGACAGAAAGAAAUACUGCUGGUCCGACCCCCUGUUCUAAUCAGAGCACAUUGUAAGGAACAACCUUCAACCUUGAUUUCUGAGAAGCCAAUAAUAAACCAUUCAUUUGUAUUUCACGCAGAGCAGCGCCAUAUUCCAUCAGGAUGCACAAACCAGUAUUCUGAAGGAACAAUACGCAUUUGGGAUUGGAUUUAUAGCUGUUCAGUAGCCUUCAGAUUUGCAGGUAAACUAUAAUAUCUGACUUGCUGGAAGGUUUCAUGGCAUGUGACACUGGCACUGAAGAAUAAAUGCGUCUGUUUUCCCCCCUCUGAUUUUUCCUGGUCUCUGGCAUCAGGACUGAGGAAGACGGGAGCCAUGUCUCCACCCAGCUUCAGGAGGGACUGGGGCAACCAGCAACAUCCAAGAGACAGGGAGAAGCCGGUGGGAAGCCAGGGCAGGGCUGACUCAGGAAUUACUGCGGGUGGGCAGAGAAAGGAUCGGGUGGGAAAUGGCCAGUAGAGGGUGUGAAAGAGAGACUCUGGGUCGUCUUGAAGCAUGGAAAGAGAAGCCAGGAAUGCUGGAACGAUGGUGUGGGGGCAAGUGAACAACCAAAACUUGGAGAAAGUCAGCAUGUAAGGUAGCACUGCUGCAGCAUCACUGGGGCAGGGGCUAAUAGUCCCAGGCUGUGCUGGAAUGUGGUUCUGGGCCAUGGGCAAGGUGGGGGCAGGUUUGGGAGGGGAGCCUGGGCAGGGUCCCCAGUAUCUGGCAGCUCUGCCCCUUCUUUCUGCCCAUUCAUCUCUUACUUUUCUCCAUCCCAGCUUUUGGCAACCCCUCACAUGCUUUGCACCCCGCUAGAAUUCCCUUAAGGGAGCUGGAGGGGUUGGAGGAGCUGAUCAAAAGGUAAAGAAGAGGGCGAAAUAUGCCUCCCUCUGCCUAAGGAGCUGCCCUGGGCAUACCUGGUCUUGGGCAUAACAUGGAGUUUAACCACCUCAGCUGGCAGGGGGUGAGCUCAUCCCUGCUCCAAACAUCUUGUUUGGGUGCAGGAGAUGCAUCACCUGUGUGAGGUGUGUUGUGUUAAGUACUCUUCUUCCUUCACCAUGUCUGGAAAAAGUACCUCUGAGCCCCUGAAAACAGCAGACAUUUUGGUGGAAGAUGGAUAAAAAAGAAUAUUUUGCAGGAACCAAGAGGUGUGCUGUCUCUGCCAAAUGAGCAUCGGCCAAUCAAAACAUUACCAAUAGAGAUUUCUCAUAUUCCCACUUUUUUUUUUUCCUUGCUUGUCUUGGUGGAAUCACAUUUCAUUUUCAAACCGCAGCUCUACAUUUAUCAUCCCUGAUUUAGUAAAUUGCCUCUUGGAGAAGCAGUGUCUAACCUACCUUUAUUUAAGACUUUGCAGGAUAAUGUGUCUGUUGGACUCAGAGAGGCUCACAAAAAAAGUGGCAGAUGCAACAAAUGUAUUGAAAUGGAGGGAUCAAAAUCAACCUUUCAAUAAGCCUCUUUUUGUAGGUAAAAUAGAAGGAGGUGAAGAUACCUCUAUAAUAAGAGUUGGCUCAAGGCUUAUCAGCAGGGGUUUGAAAUGAGUCAUGCAGCCCCUACAUCCUAUGAGCAGCCUUUUGCCUCUCACUGCAUCUUUCCCAGUGCCUGAGCUGCGGCCAGCCCCAAUGAGCCCAGCGUGGCUGGGUGGCAUCAUACAGGAGGGAUCCCUACAGUCUCCAAACAAGAAUGUCAUUAGCAGUCUCUUGAGUGUUGCACCACGGAGGCUGAGGAGCAGCAGCUAUUGGGGACACACAUUGGAGCCACCUCAUUUGCAUUCCUUAGGAAGACCUGCUGGUUUUGGCAAACCCACUUGAACCUAUAGGUUACCCAUUGGCACUGCUGAAUAGCCCCCAUUUGCUCUGAGAGACACCACUGCCCCUGACCAACACUGGCCCAACCCCAACAGACAGUGGAAGCAGAAGGACAGUUUUGAGCUCGAGACUGGCCAAAGCACAUAUCCAGUGUACCCCACCACACAAGAAACUCCUGGCUGUUUGGAAAAGAGAAACUGUGUCAGCAGCAGCACCCUGGGUUGCUCUUUUUUCACAAGACUUAUCUGUUGGUUUGAAGCUGGUGCGUGGUUUCCUACCCUCAAAAGACUAUUUUAAGCUCUACAGAGAGCGGUUGUUGAACAAGCUCUGUUAAUACAGCAGAGCAGCAGCAAAUCCAUUUCACCUUCUUAGCUAAUGGCUUCCCCUCCUGGAAAAGAGAUUCCUGAGAAAAGAAACAAACACUGCUGUCUGUGCCAAAAUGCCUGACCUGAGCCUGAACACAGCGUGCUGCUCCCCCGGCAUGUGGGAGGGGAAGGGGCACCUCGGGUGAGCUGCUCUGCCCUCAAGUACAGGACUGGAGGCUGAGGGCUGUGGUCGAAGAGGUGAGCUGGUGCAGAAUUAUUGCUUUCUGUGCUUUGAUAUUUAUGGGAAAAAAUAAGGGAAACUUAGCCACUGUCAUGCA